CGUGGGUAACCUGCCCAAGAGAUCGGGAUAACACCUGGAAACAGAUGCUAAUACCGGAUAACAACAGAUGAUGCCUAUCAACUGUUUAAAAGAUGGUUCUGCUAUCACUAUUGGAUGGACCUGCGGUGCAUUAGCUAGUUGGUAGGGUAACGGCCUACCAAGGCGAUGAUGCAUAGCCGAGUUGAGAGACUGAUCGGCCACAUUGGGACUGAGACACGGCCCAAACUCCUACGGGAGGCAGCAGGC
rnacentral:rRNA from 1 species